UGGGGAAUAUUGCGCAAUGGGCGGAAGCCUGACGCAGCGACGCCGCGUGAGGGAUGACGGCCUUCGGGUUGUAAACCUCUUUCAGCAGGGACGAAUUUAGACGGUACCUGUAGAAGAAGCACCGGCCAACUACGUGCCAGCAGCCGCGGUAAUACGUAGGGUGCGAGCGUUGUCCGGAAUUAUUGGGCGUAAAGAGCUCGUAGGCGGUCCGUCGCGUCGAAUGUGAAAACCCGGGGCUCAACUCCGGGCUUGCAUUCGAUACGGGCAGGCUAGAGUUCGGUAGGGGAGUCCGGAAUUCCUGGUGUAGCGUGAACUGCGCAGCUAUCAGGAGGAACACCGGUGGCGAAGGCGGGACUCUGGGCCGAUACCGACGCUGAGGAGCGAAAGCAGGGUGAGCGAACA
rnacentral:rRNA from 1 species